UACGUAGGGAGCAAGCGUUGUUCGGAUUUACUGGGCGUAAAGGGCGCGUAGGCGGCAUAUUAAGUCAUCUGUGAAAUCUCCGAGCUUAACUCGGAACUGUCAGCUGAUACUGAUGUGCUAGAGUGCGGAAGGGGCAAUCGGAAUUCUUGGUGUGGCGGUGAAAUGCGUAGAUAUCAAGAGGAACACCUGAGGUGAAGACGGGUUGCUGGGCCGACACUGACGCUGAGUGCGCGAAAGCCAGGGGAGCAAACGGG
rnacentral:rRNA from 1 species